UAGUCCACGCCGUAAACGAUGAAUACUAGGUGUAGGGGUUGUCAUGACCUCUGUGCCGCCGCUAACGCAUUAAGUAUUCCGCCUGGGGAGUACGGUCGCAAGAUUAAAACUCAAAGGAAUUGACGGGGGCCCGCACAAGCAGCGGAGCAUGUGGUUUAAUUCGAAGCAACGCGAAGAACCUUACCUAGACUUGACAUCUCCUGCAUUACUCUUAAUCGAGGAAGUCCCUUCGGGGACAGGAUGACAGGUGGUGCAUGGUUGUCGUCAGCUCGUGUCGUGAGAUGUUGGGUUAAGUCCCGCAACGAGCGCAACCCUUAUUGUUAGUUGCCAUCAUUAAGUUGGGCACUCUAGCGAGACUGCCCGGGUUAACCGGGAGGAAGGUGGGGAUGACGUCAAAUCAUCAUGCCCCUUAUGUCUAGGGCUACACACGUGCUACAAUGGUCGGUACAAUAAGACGCAAGCCCGCGAGGGGGAGCAAAACUGGAAAACCGAUCUCAGUUCGGAUUGUAGGCUGAAACUCGCCUACAUGAAGCUGGAGUUCCUAGUAAUCGCGAAUCAGCAUGUCGCGGUGAAUACGUUCCCGGGCCUUGUACACACCGCCCGUCACACCAUGAGAGUUGGCAAUACCCAAAGUACGUGAUCUAACCCGCA
rnacentral:rRNA from 1 species